rnacentral:rRNA from 1 species
CUGGCGGCGUGCUUAACACAUGCAAGUCGAACGAUGAAGCACCAGCUUGCUGGUGUGGAUUAGUGGCGAACGGGUGAGUAACACGUGAGUAACCUGCCCCUCACUCUGGGAUAAGCCUGGGAAACUGGGUCUAAUACUGGAUACGACCGAUCUCCGCAUGGAGUGUUGGUGGAAAGUUUUUGUGGUGGGGGAUGGACUCGCGGCCUAUCAGCUUGUUGGUGGGGUAAUGGCCUACCAAGGCGACGACGGGUAGCCGGCCUGAGAGGGCGACCGGCCACACUGGGACUGAGACACGGCCCAGACUCCUACGGGAGGCAGCAGUGGGGAAUAUUGCACAAUGGGCGAAAGCCUGAUGCAGCGACGCCGCGUGAGGGAUGACGGCCUUCGGGUUGUAAACCUCUUUCACCAGGGACGAAGCUAACGUGACGGUACCUGGAGAAGAAGCACCGGCUAACUACGUGCCAGCAGCCGCGGUAAU